rnacentral:rRNA from 1 species
AUUGAACGCUGGCGGAAUGCUUUACACAUGCAAGUCGAGCGGCAGCGCGGCCUUCGGGCUGGCGGCGAGCGGCGAACGGGUGAGUAAUGCAUCGGAACAUGCCCAGUCGUGGGGGAUAACACUUCGAAAGAAGUGCUAAUACCGCAUACGUCCUGAGGGGGAAAGCGGGGGAUCGCAAGACCUCGCGCGAUUGGAGUGGCCGAUGUCAGAUUAGCUAGUUGGUGGGGUAAAGGCCUACCAAGGCGACGAUCUGUAGCUGGUCUGAGAGGAUGAUCAGCCACACUGGGACUGAGACACUGCCCAGACUCCUACGGGAGGCAGCAGUGGGGAAUUUUGGACAAUGGGGGCAACCCUGAUCCAGCCAUUCCGCGUGAGUGAAGAAGGCCUUCGGGUUGUAAAGCUCUUUCGGCAGGAACGAAACGGUGGGCUCUAACAUAGUCCGCUAAUGACGGUACCUGAAGAAGAAGCACCGGCUAACUACGUG